UACGGGGGGGGCAAGCGUUGCUCGGAAUCACUGGGCGUAAAGCGCACGUAGGCGGAUUGCUAAGUCAGGGGUGAAAUCCUGGAGCUCAACUCCAGAACUGCCCUUGAUACUGGCGGUCUCGAGUCCGGGAGAGGUGAGUGGAACUGCGAGUGUAGAGGUGAAAUUCGUAGAUAUUCGCAAGAACACCAGUGGCGAAGGCGGCUCACUGGCCCGGUACUGACGCUGAGGUGCGAAAGCGUGGGGAGCAAACAGG
rnacentral:rRNA from 1 species